GAUGAACGCUGGCGGCGUGCCUAAUACAUGCAAGUCGAGCGAACAGACGAGGAGCUUGCUCCUCUGACGUUAGCGGCGGACGGGUGAGUAACACGUGGAUAACCUACCUAUAAGACUGGGAUAACUUCGUGAAACCGGAGCUAAUACCGGAUAACAUGUUGAACCGCAUGGUUCAACAGUGAAAGACGGUCUUUCUGUCGCUUAUAGAUGUAUCCGCGCCGCAUUAGCUAGUUGGUAAGUUAACGGCUUACCAAGGCAACGAUGCGUAGCCGACCUGAGAGGGUGAUCGGCCACACUGGAACUGAGACACGGUCCAGACUCCUACGGGAGGCAGCAGUAGGGAAUCUUCCGCAAUGGGCGAAAGCCUGACGGAGCAACGCCGCGUGAGUGAAGAAGGUCUUCGGAUCGUAAAACUCUGUUAUUAGGGAAGAACAAAUGUGUAAGUAACUAUGCACGUCUUGACGGUACCUAAUCAGAAAGCCACGGCUAACUACGUG
rnacentral:rRNA from 1 species